UUUUUUUUUUUUUUUUUUUGACUCAACCUCAUUAUUUUUGUGUGAUUAUUCCAUGCAAUAUUUAUUUUAACCAGGGGUUUUUAUUUGUUGCUGUAGUUCUAUGAAGCAAUGAAAAUAUCUUUUAGUGAUUUAAAUAGGUAAACUUCUAUAUACUAAUUAUCUAACAGUGUUUCUUUUAGAAAUGACAUGGAAAAACAAAGGACAUUUCUUUUAUAUACAAAAGCUACAUUUUAAUCCACAGAUUGUUGUUGCCUUCCAAGAUAUUAGGUAUAAAUAUUCAGUUCAUCCUCAUAAAAUAUUCCCACUGAAAUUAGGUGGAGUUCUGAUUGAUUUAAUGCUGAAGAGUCUGGCUCAUUGGAAUAGAGGCAGUUGAAAAUUAUAUGAAAUAAUUGAAAUUGAAAUGGGAUACACCCAUAAUGCUAACCAGAAAACAAUGUAAUUAAAACCACACUGAUAUAUCUAUGACCUUGACCUAAAUGGAGUCAAUCUUGGACAAUUCAGCAAGGCCUGUUUAUUUUUGCCUUUUAAUAUUGGUGCUCAUCCUUCUUCAGUACUUAGAGGAAAAUCAAAUGGUUUAUUUUUCUUGGAAAACAUCCAAACAUCUGUAUGUGGAGUUCUUCCCUCCUCACCAUCCAACUAGAAUGUAGGUCACUUCCUUACAUACAUGAAUCUCUCUAUACAGACUACAAAGUGGGGUAAAACCUCAUUUAAUUGAGAAUGUGGGUAUAUAACUUAAUAAAUAAAGAUCAUGUCCAAGUUUUUUAUAUUCAGAUUUAAACUUUUCUGUUUUCCCAUAACUUCUAACAUUCCAUGAUUGUUGACUUAUAUUUAAAAUUUUUCCUUUUGCACUUGAUAAUAAUAAAGAGAAUUCAGCCUCUCUUAUUAAAAGUUUUCCUACCUCUCAUUCAUCCCAGUCUGUACCGAGAGAGAUCUUUAUGCUUGUACAUGUGACACUCAGGGCCUGUUCGUCACUCACCUUAAACAGCUGCCCUAUAGCCACCCUUCAGGCCUAGAGGUGACUUCUCUCUGGAGUAUGAUCGGCUCUCAGAGGGUGGAGCUGGGAAAGGAGCCUGCAUGGCCUUUAGAAGUGGGCAUGGAGCACCCAUGGUUCCUGGUUUGGAAAUGGUGACAGGUUAUAUAGCCUUUGCCUGAGCAGUUCUCCUUUGUCCCUAAUAUGUCUCACACUACGUGAAGGGGAAACUCGAGGAUCAGAGCAGGCUCCUCUAAAAUAUGGCUCAGGGUAGGGGCACUAGGCCCUGGGAAUAUAGAUCUUGGAAAUGAGAUGCUGAUCUGGGUCAGCCCUUUGGAGCUCAUGUAGAAGCAGCUCUGGCCAGAGGUGGGGUGAGAUAGAUGUGUGCUCAGCAAGGAAGUAUGCCAGCAGGCUUGGACACGUGUAUUUUAUAAGUAGGACUCCUUGUACUUUUAAUAUUCUUAGUGUUUGUUCAUUUGAGCCUUUGCUCUCUUUAGCAUGUAGCAAUGUAUGUUGUGUUUUCCAGGCUCACUUAGCUGUGCUGUGGAGAACUAGAUAUUCUGUCCAUGGGUCAGAAAGUUCAGGGGGCAUCAGGUCUAGGUGUAAGCAAGGCAUGAGGGAAAUAAUCAGAGCAAGAGGAAACUUAGGAUGCAGUGAGGCUAUUUACUAGACAAUGGUUAUAAAUGGACUAUGGAAUCCAAAUGGGAAAAGAGAUGGGAAGAGAGGAGGAGAUUUGAGGAUAAAAGAUAAGUGACAGAGUCAAUGUUUUUGAAAAUUGUGGAUGAAGAGUUAAAGUGUUGAUAUCAAUCUACUAGGGUUUUUCGGUUGGAAACCAAAAAGGUAACCCUAAGUCCUUUAAACACUGAAUGAAAGGAAAAAAAAAACCUAUAAAAAAGUCCUUGGAAAUUCAGAAUAGAAAGUAUAGAAGAGUCCAUGAGAUGACUCAGUGAAAUCACCAUUCAUCUUUGUUUAUCUUUGCACCUUUGUAAUUCUAGGAAAAUGACUUGGGAUUUUUGUGGUGACUUCAAAGUACCUUUAUAUGUUUCUACUCAUUGAUUAUUCAUAGACAUUCAUGGCACAGGGCUGAUAGAUUAAUUGAACAAAUAGGGAAAUAACCACUUAAGCAAGAGAGCUGGAUGCUCAGGAAGUUUUGGUCAGAAAGUGGAAUGUUAGAAAUUGUGCUUUCAGAACUGGUGCAACUUCUGGUGAUAAUGGAGUGAUGGGGUGGUGGCUGAGUUCUGCAGGAAAAGUAGUAGUCAAGGAAUCAGGGUCACCUAUUCCAGGAUGAACAAAGAAUGUUUCUGGUCUGAUCUAUGGGAAGAAUUGAAGCAGCAGUAAUCCAAAUGAAGAUUAUAUAUCAGAAGAGCUAAGGGGGGGGCAUGGAAAGAACAGAUGGGGAAUUAUGUGGCUUAAAAAUGCUAAAUGAGGAACAAUACAUUAUAUGGAGGCAUAAAGACAAAUUAGGGGAAAUGGAGCAGCAAGAGCACAGGUCUUAGCCCUGCCCUGGGGCCAGUAACCUGCUGUUCUCUUUGUCAUUCCAGGUUGAUGCAUAAUCUUGUAGUUCUCCUCCAAUACCUUUGAUUUUAGUGCUUUGAUAGAUGAACCCUUCUCAAAUUAUUCCAAUCUGAGUGUUCUCUUGAUUUUCUGUUAGGACCCUAAAUGAAACAUCAGCUAAUUUAAAAUAUAAUACUUCAUUUUUCUGUUUUAUAUAUUAUGGUUAAUAAUAAUGAUCAUAUUUUAUAAUUAUUAAUAAGCAAGAACUCUGCAGAUAUUACAUAAUAAUAUAUAUUAUUUAGUUUAAUUAUAUUACUUAAUCUGUGAGACAAGUUGUGCUCUCCCUGUGUUAUAGGUGAGAACACUAAGACUCAGAGAAGGUGUUAUACAAUCAGUCACUUGCACAGUCAGUCUGGUUCCAGUACUUGUGUUCUCAAAUAAAAGUACUGGACUGACUGUCACAAAAGGGGCUACCAAACCAAGUAAGCCUUACCUCUGUCCUUAGGGAGAGCAGCAUCUCUUUGGAAAAAUAAUAAUUAGCUAAUUAAUUAAUGUGUGAUGUGUGCAUGCUUGAGUGUGUGACAGCACUCACAUCAUGUGUAAGACUUAAGAUUAAGACAAUGAUUGAUAAGUUUCUUGGGCAGAUUUAAUGCUACAGGAGUUUUAAAAAUGUUAUGUUCACCCUAGCAUGAGGAAGACAAAAGCAGAAGAUGCUAUAAAAUCUAAAUAGAGGGUGUUACUGUUUUUAUCAUUCUUCAUGUACUUUUUUAUUCUUUGGUACAUUUUUUUCAUUCUCUGUACAGGUAAAUUACUAAAUUUUUUGAAAUAUUUCACUAUAAAAUAUGUGUGUGUGUCCUUCAAAUGAUAAACUGACUAGUUGAUAUGGAAGAAAUACACUUGAAAACUUUCCUGAAUUCCAUCAAAAUAGGUCAUAACUUUGAGAAGUUGGCUUGAUGAAAUCAACAUUUAUAGAAUCACAACUUCCAUAGUGGGAAGUUUAAGUCAUUCUCUGCACACAGACAGCCGCAGAGGAAAAUAGCUCAAUAAAUUCAAACAUGAAGAUCAAAGUUGUUAUGAUUACAUUCUAUUUCCAUUUCACCUUACCUUACUGUGCAUGCUUAUUAUUUUUAUGCUGCUUACAUGGCCCAUUACCUACUCCCUCUCGUUCUGAGGUCAGUGGAAUGGCAUUUCCCCUUUAGAGCAUUACUGCCUCACACCCUAUAAUUGGCUAGUGGAAUUAGAGAGAUUAUGGUUAUGGGAACAGAAAAUUCCCCCCUCAACAAAAAUGCAGAAUUGUCAUGGUGCAAUUUGCUUUCACCCAUUCUAGCAUUAUUCAGGGUCACAGAAUUUUUUUUAAAAAAAUAUUCUUUUAUUUUUUUUUAAAAAAUUGAGAUGUUGACUAUUAAAUUGGGCUGGCUACAAAUAGUAAACAGAGAUAUUUACAAAUUGGAGGAAUUCCAGACACUAUCAAUCCAGACAUUUUGUUUUGAAAAGAGUCCUUAGACAUCAUUUACAAUUCACAAGACAGUUGUUUUCAUAUAGAAGAUGUUGCUAUCUGCCAAAGUCAUCAAAGAUAACACACAGUUACCUGACAGAAGAGAAAACUAGAGAAGUAAUGUUCUUUGAGUUUUCAAUUUUUAUUUUAUCUUUAAAAAUACAAAUAUGUUCUUGGAAAAUAGCUCACCUAUGUCUUGGCAUUUCUGUUGUCAAUAAUUUAUAGAAAAUGAGAAUAGCGGUGGGCUUAUUUAUUUCAGGUAAAAUUUUGAAUCUGUUCUGAAGACAACAGAAUGGGAAAACUAAAUUGAAAAUCUUAACCAUCCCCAAAGUGCAUUUCUUAGGAGCAGAACCCCAGGCCUGUAAGUUUUUCCUUAGUAAUCUUGUUAAUAAUAACUCUUAACCACUGGCGACAAGGGGGCUUUUCCAUUCAGUACCAUCAAAGACAGUCAGAAUUAAGGACACUGAAAAUGAAGGAGUUGGCUUGGAUGGAGGACAGACACUAAUGUAAUCUAAUCCAUAUUUAACCAGGCGCUGAUUAAAAAUUGCUUGACUAUCCAUAUAAAUUAGAUCAUUCAUGAAGGCUUUUCUUCUCUUGCAUGUUAGAUUUUUAAAGAGUUAGUUUCUGUUACUCCUCCUGGUUACUGUGACUCUGCAGAAUGGAAAUGGAAAAUCUGAAAGUUGGCAGCAUUUGCCUGCAUGUUUGUGCAUGCUGCGAGGUGUAAGAGGCAGGGAGAGGGAGAAGGGUGCAAAAUGGUAGAUGGAGCUGGUAUUCUUGUAGGAUAUUUAGCAGCCUUCACAACGCUUCCCAAACACCAAGAGGAACUCAUAUGGGGGAGUAUUAUUGGAUUUAGAUUUUUCUAAUAUAGCCGUCAGCUCCUUCUGAAAACUUUUUAAUUGGGGCAUUUUCUAGGCUAAUAGCAUCCUAGAAAGCUAUAAACACAGAGGGAAGAACUGUUUUUGUUUAUUAGUCAGGCCAGCUGCAUUUUAUUUGUGGAUGUUCUAUGCACUAUGGACAAUGUGGAGGAAAUAAGAGCGUGAGGCCAAAAGUCAUGAGAAUUGAGAUGCCAGGAACACCAGAACACAUAGAGUAACUAGGGAUGGGCUGAAACACAAAAGAGUUUAUAGUCAAGCCAGGUGAACUCUAAAAAUUCUCUCUUAUGGAGUUUCUAUUGUGUAGCUCAGCAGGUUAAAACCCACAUGGUGUCUGUGAGGAUGCGGGUUCGAUCCCUAGCCUUGUUCAGUGGGUUAAGGAUCCGUCAUUGCUUCGAGCUGUGGUGUAGGUCAAAGAUGCGGCUUGGAUCCCACAUUGCUGUGGCUGUUGUGUAGGCUGGCAGCUACAGCUCUGAUUCGACCCCUGGCCUGAGAACUGCCAUAUGCCU
rnacentral:lncRNA from 1 species